rnacentral:tRNA from 1 species
GGGCAGGUAUGGUUACAUUGCGAGGGUCUGAAAAACCCUAGAACAUAGUUCGAUUCUAUGAAUGUCCA